rnacentral:rRNA from 1 species
GACGAACGCUGGCGGCGUGCCUAAUACAUGCAAGUAGAACGCUGAAGGAGGAGCUUGCUCUUCUGGAUGAGUUGCGAACGGGUGAGUAACGCGUAGGUAACCUGCCUGGUAGCGGGGGAUAACUAUUGGAAACGAUAGCUAAUACCGCAUAACAGUAGAUGUUGCAUGACAUUCACUUAAAAGGUGCAAUUGCAUCACUACCAGAUGGACCUGCGUUGUAUUAGCUAGUUGGUGGGGUAACGGCUCACCAAGGCGACGAUACAUAGCCGACCUGAGAGGGGGAUCGGCCACACUGGGACUGGGACACGGCCCAGACUCCUACGGGAGGCAGCAGUAGGGAAUCUUCGGCAAUGGACGGAAGUCUGACCGAGCAACGCCGCGUGAGUGAAGAAGGUUUUCGGAUCGUAAAGCUCUGUUGUAAGAGAAGAACGAGUGUGAGAGUGGAAAGUUCACACUGUGACGGUAUCUUACCAGAAAGGGACGGCUAACUACGUG